UGAAAGAUGCCUUGUGCAGGGCUGUGCUAGUUGAUGCUGUGUGAUUGCUUGGGACCUCCCCUGUCUUAGAACCAAACACAGAUCCUGAGCUCUGAGGCCUGGAACUCCAGAUUGCACUUGAACUAUGAGAUCAGCGACAAGAAUAAUUAUUCUCCUAACAUUGGGUAUUAUGAGUGAUUCUAAGACCACACAGCCAAACGCAAUGGAGUGUGCUGAAGAAGAACCUGUGCACCUGCCCUGUAACCACUCCACAAUCAGUGGAAAUGAGUACAUAUAUUGGUAUCGACAGAUUCCCCACCAGGGUCCAGUGUAUAUGAUUCACGGCAUAAAAAACAAUGUGACCAAUGGAAUGCUGUCUCUGACCAUGACAGCAGACCGAAAGUCCAGUACCUUGAUCCUGCCUCAGGUCACCCUGAGAGAUGCUGCUGUGUACUACUGCAUCGUGAGAAAGGCACAUUGA